rnacentral:rRNA from 1 species
AGGACGAACGCUGGCGGCGUGCUUAACACAUGCAAGUCGAACGGUAAGGCCCUUUCGGGGGUACACGAGUGGCGAACGGGUGAGUAACACGUGGGUGACCUGCCUCAAGCUCUGGGAUAAGCCUGGGAAACUGGGUCUAAUACCGGAUAUGACUUCAUGCUGCAUGGUGUGGGGUGGAAAGUUUUUUCGGCUUGGGAUGGGCCCGCGGCCUAUCAGCUUGUUGGUGGGGUGAUGGCCUACCAAGGCUUCGACGGGUAGCCGGCCUGAGAGGGCGUCCGGCCACACUGGGACUGAGACACGGCCCAGACUCCUACGGGAGGCAGCAGUGGGGAAUAUUGCGCAAUGGGCGGAAGCCUGACGCAGCGACGCCGCGUGGGGGAUGACGGCCUUCGGGUUGUAAACCUCUUUCGACCUCGACGAAGAGAGAUUGACGGUAGGGGUGGAAGAAGCACCGGCCAACUACGUGCCAGCAGCCGCGGUAACACGUAGGGUGCGAGCGUUGUCCGGAAUUAUUGGGCGUAAAGAGCUCGUAGGCGGUGUGUCGCGUCGGCCGUGAAAACCUGCAGCUUAACUGUGGGCGUGCGGUCGAUACGGGCAUCACUGGAGUUCGGCAGGGGAGACUGGAAUUCCUGGUGU